AUGCGAAAGCAUUUGAAGACAAGUUUGAAAGAGUUUGGAAACAAAUUCGAGUAAGCUUGUUCGUUCGUAAGCACAAAAUGGCCUCGUCAAACGGUGGAGAGAGUCUCUGGGUGAUCGUCAGAUCU
rnacentral:misc_RNA from 1 species